AAUAUUGGACAAUGGGGGCAACCGUGUUCCAGCCAUGCCGCGUGUGUGAAGAAGGUCCUCGGUUUGUAAAGCACUUUAUGAUGGGAGGAAGUGCAUUAGGUUAAUACUCUGAAGUUUUGUGGUUACCAACAGAAUAAGUACCGGCGAACUCUGUCCCGGCAGCCGCGGUAAUACAGAGGGUGCAAGCGUUAAUCGGAAUUACUGGGCGUAAAGCGCGCGUAGGUGGCUCAGUAAGGUGGGUGUGAAAUCCCCGGGCUUAACCUGGGAACUGCUUUCAUAACUGCUGAGCUAGAGUACGGUAGAGGGUAGUGGAAUUUCCUGUGUAGCGGUGAAAUGCGUAGAUAUAGGAAGGAACACCAGUGGCGAAGGCGACUACCUGGACUGAUACUGACACUGAGGUGCGAAAGCGUGGGGAGCAAAC
rnacentral:rRNA from 1 species